rnacentral:rRNA from 1 species
UACGGGGGGGGCAAGCGUUGUUCGGAAUUACUGGGCGUAAAGGGCUCGUAGGUGGCCAACUAAGUCAGACGUGAAAUCCCCAGGCUCAACUUGGGAACUGCGUCUGAUACUGGAUGGCUUGAAUUCGGGAGAGGGAUGCAGAAUUCCAGGUGUAACGGUGAAAUGCGUAGAUAUCUGGAGGAAUACCGGUGGCGAAGGCGGCAUCCUGGACCGAGAUUGACACUGAUGAGCGAAAGCUAGGGAGCAAACGGG